rnacentral:rRNA from 1 species
ACGAACGCUGGCGGCAUGCCUAACACAUGCAAGUCGAACGAGACCUUCGGGUCUAGUGGCGCACGGGUGCGUAACGCGUGGGAAUCUGCCCUUAGGUUCGGAAUAACUCCCCGAAAGGGGUGCUAAUACCGGAUAAUGUCUUCGGACCAAAGAUUUAUCGCCUUUGGAUGGGCCCGCGUUGGAUUAGCUAGUUGGUAGGGUAAAAGCCUACCAAGGCGACGAUCCAUAGCUGGUCUGAGAGGAUGAUCAGCCACACUGGGACUGAGACACGGCCCAGACUCCUACGGGAGGCAGCAGUGGGGAAUAUUGGACAAUGGGCGAAAGCCUGAUCCAGCAAUGCCGCGUGAGUGAUGAAGGCCUUAGGGUUGUAAAGCUCUUUUACCCGGGAUGAUAAUGACAGUACCGGGAGAAUAAGCUCCGGCUAACUCCGUG